rnacentral:lncRNA from 10 species
AAAGCUGGCCACCCGGGCCAGCAGCAGCAACCUGCUCAGGUCCCCUUCCAUGGUGUGGAAGCUUUGUUCUUUCGCUGUUCACAAUGAAUCUUGCUGCUGCUCACUCUUUGGGUCCGCACUAGCUUUAUGAGCUGUAACGCUCACUGCGAAGGUCUGUGGCUUCACUCCUGAAGUCAGCAAGACCACGAACCCACCGGAAGGAGGAAACAACUCCGGAAGCACCACGUUUAAGAGCUGUAACACUCACUGCGAAAGUCUGCAGCUUCACUCCUGAAGUCAGCAAGACCACAAACCCACCGGAAGGAAGAAAUUCCAGACACAUCUAAACAUUGGAAGGAACAAACUCCAGACACACUAUCUUUAAGAACUGUAACACUCACCGCGAGGGUCUGUGGCUUCAUGCUUGAAGUCAGCCGGACCAAGAACCCACCGGAAAGAACCAAUUCCUGACACAAUCAGACAGAGAAUGCUGAUUCACUAUGCAGUGAAACAUGCCUAACGUGUCAACAGCUAAAUGCCCGGUGACAGUGUGGUUGUCUGGGCAACAGAAGAAGUCACCCACGCAAACACUUAAAGGACCAUACUUAUUUUACAAGAGGAACAGUUUUCAAUGGAAUGGAUAUUAAAACACACACCUGGAUCCCUUUACCACAGGUGCUUUGAGAGGCACCAUCAAGGACAGUGAGCUAACGCAGGAGAAUGGAGUCCCAGAAACCUAGGAGGAGAAGACAAAGUGUCAGCCUCUCGGCAUCUGCAGUGUUGCUAGGAAAAGAGCUCUGAUCCCAGGGGCUUACCCACUUCCACAGGAUCAUCCUCUGCAUAUGAAGGAACAGACAAGCCCUCAGCUCUACCACUUUGGAGAGGGGGGGAUUGGACAGCAUGAGCCUUCAAUUGUAUCUCUUGGAUGACCAAGGAAGGCUGGAUUUCUGCACCUAAAAAAUGGAAGCACAAACUGUACAACAAAUACUCUCCAUUCAAGUUGAAGUUCUCAAAUAAGUUUUGAAAGGUUCACUCCAGCUACUCUGUUGACAAUGGAUUAUAGAAGACUGAACAUGGAAUCCAGGAGACCAGUCAGAAAACUUCUUCAGGAAUCCAGCACAGUCUUGGCCUGUUCUGGAGAAUGCUCCCCAUCAAAAAUAAUUGACUGGAGACAAGCCAAGUCAGGAUUCUCCCUGGGAUCAAUUUCUGAUGGCGCUUUCUUCAUAAACAGGGGGACCUUUUCAAAUUCCUCUUCCCACUGGUCCUCAUGAAAGCCGCCACGGUAAGGCUGGCUCUGGAACUUUUCCAGGAACAAGUCCGUGGCAUCGUCUGAGGUGGGGUCCUGCUCAGGUUACUCCAUAACUGAUGCCCUGCCCUCCAGCCCAGGUCCCGGCACCGUGAAGUGUAGAAAAUACUCUACAAUGAAUAAAAAUAAAAUACAAUAUUCAAGAUUUAUGAAUGCAAUAAAAGCAGUGGUCAGAAGGAACAUUUAAGCUCUAAACACAUUAAAAAAGAAGAAUGAUAUUAAUAGAAAAUCUAAUUGUGUAUCUUACAUAACUAGAAAAUGAAAAGCAGUCUAAAGCCAAAGCAUGAAGGAGGUAGGAAAUAAUGAUUAGAGGAAACAUAAAUGACAUAGAGAAUAGAAAAACAAGAGAGAGUAUCAAUGAACCUAAAAUUUGGUUCUUUAAAAAGAUUACCAGAUUUGACAAACCUUUAGCUAUACUAAUAAUAGAAGACUAAAAUAAAUAAAAUUAAAAAUGAAAUCAUAGACAUUAUAACUGAUACCAUAGAAAUACAAAGGAUCAAAAGAAACUACUAAUGAACAAUUAUAUGCCAACAAAUUGGAUUACCUACAGGAAAUUGAUGAAUUCCUACAACAUACAACCUACCAACGCUGAAUCAUGAAGAAAUAGAAAAUCUAAACAGACCAAUAGUGAGUAAAGAGAUUGAGUCUGUAAUCAAAAAUCUUACAAAAAAGAAAAGCUCAGUAUCAGACAGCUUCACUGAUGAGUUCUAUCAGUCCUUUAAUGAAAAUUUAUACCAAUCAUUGCCAAACUCUUUCAUAAAAUUGAAGAGAUGAGAAUAGUUCAUAAUUCAUUGUAUGAGGCUGGCAUUACGUAGAUACAAAGCCAGACAAAGACAUUACAAGAUUGUCUCUUUUAAGUAUAGAUGCAAAGCCUCUUGAUAAAAUCCUAUCAAACUGAAUACAGCAGCAUAUUAAAGGGAUCAUACUCCAUGACAAAUGGGAUUUAUCUCAGUAAUGCAAGAAUGGUUCAACGUAUGAAAAUCACUCAAUGUAAGAAACCACAUGAAUAGAAUGAAGGGAGAAAAAAGACCCCAAAAUAUACGAACAUUUCAGUUGAUGCAGAGGAAUCAUUUGAUAAAGUUCAACAUUCUUUUAAAACACUCAGUAAAUGAAGAAUAAAAGAUAUCUUCCAUAACACGAUAAAGGUGAUAUAUGAAAAACCCACAGCUAACAUCACACCCAAUAUUGAAAGACUCAAAGCUUUCCCUUAACAAUGGGAACGAGAGCAGGAUUCCUACUGUCGCUAUUUUUACUCAAUAUAGUAGUAGAAAUUCUAGCCAGAGCAAUUAGAGAAGUCAAAUAAAUGAAAAUCUUACAAAUUGAAAAGAGAGAAGUUCUCCAUUCACAGAUGACCUGGUCUUAUGUGUAGAAAGCUCUAAGGAUUUAAUAACAAAACUAUUAGAGCUAAUAAAUGAAUUAAGCAAAGUUGUAGGACAAAAAAACAAUAAACAAAAUCAGUUGUGUUUCUAUACACUAGAAAUAAGCAAUAGGACAAGUUUUUUAAAACUUUCUUUUUAUAGUAGCAUCUGAAAGAACAGAUAUGUAGGAAUUUAAUCGGAAAUUAAAGACGUACUGAAAACUACAAAACAUUGCUGAAAUAAAGAAGUCAUAAAUCAAUGGAAUGUGUUCAUGGUGUAAGAUUUAAUAUUGUUAAGGUGAUAAUGCUACUCGAUUUGCUUUGCUAAUCAAAGCAAUCUACAGAUUGAAUCCAACAAUUUUUUUUUUCUUGUGGAAAUAGAAAACCCAUUCUAAAGUUCAUAUGAAAUCUUAAGGGACCUUGCAUAGCCAAAACAAUCUUGAAAAGAAUAAAUGUGGACAACUCACAUUUCCUGAUUUCAAAACUUAUCACAAAGAUACAGUAAUCAAAACAGUGAGGUACUUGUAUAAAGACAGACAUACAGACCAAUAGAUUUGAAUAGAUAUUCCAGAAGUAAACUCUCACAUACACAGACAAUUGAUUUUUGACAAGGGCACAAAAGCCAUUCAAUGGGGAAAAGGACAAUCUUUUCAACAAAUGGUGCUGGGAAAACUGUGUAUCCACAUGUAAAAAAAUGAAGUCAAACCUUUUCCUCAAAUUAUAUACAGAAAUUCACCAAAAAUGAAUAAAAUACUUAAAUAUAAGAACUAAAACUAUAAAACUCUUAGAGGAAAACAUACAACUAAAUCUUCAUGAUAUUAAUUUCUUAGAUAUGACACCAAAAGGAUGAGGAAUAACAAAAAUAGAUAAACUGAAGGGUAGAAAGCAAAGUGAUAAUGGAAGAUGAGAGUCGAGUGAUGUGACCAGGAGCCAAGGAAUGCCAUGGCCUCUAGAUGUGGGGAGUUAAGGGACCAAUUUUCCCUGGAAACUCCUGAAGGAACUUGCCAUGCCAACACCUUGAUUAUAGCCCUUUAAGAUACAUUUUGGACUGUUGAUCUCCAGGAUUGUAAGAUAAUACAUUCGUGUUGAUUUAAGCCACUGAAUAUGUGGUGAUUUGUUACAGCAGCAAUAGUAAACUGAUACACAAUCUCAAUGAAAGUAGGGAUUUCUGUCUUCCCACACCCUGCUCACUUCACUAGAGAAUUUAUAGCACUUAGUGUAUUCUUCGAUAAAUAUUUGUUGAGUAAGAUGAAUGAAGCCAGACUUUAGAGUCAGAUUACACUUGGCUGGUUAACUGUUGUGAGGAAAGCAGUUGAAAGUUCUCUUGGCCUUGCUUCUACUUGCACUGGGAAGCACUGUCAUCAAUGAAGGGGUUGCUGUGGGUUUCAAGAGAAAAGAAAAGGUGUGAGAAUCUCCCAGGUACAGUGGGAGCUCAUCUGGACUAGGGAAAUAAAAUAGGAUUGCUUGGUUAUUGCUCACUUGGUCACUAAUAUAACAUGAAUUGAGACAGUAUGGUUGUAUAUUUUUCUCCAAUUAAGGUUAUGGGGUGGCAUGGCCUAGGGGAAGUUACUUAUUUUGCAAGGGUGAUUUGAUAGAGGCAGCAAGCCAGGUAGCUGGGAUGUUUGCAAGGGCAUGAUCAUAAUGGUGUACCAUGCAAUUUAAGCAGGGGCAGGUGGAAAUAAGGACUUGAUGUGAUAUGUUCAGAUCCAUGAAUAAGACAUCAUAACAGGAGUCACAGUAUUGUCAGACUAGAAGUACUGGAGGAAGGGAGCUGGACAUUUGAAAGAGAUGGGAGGGUGGAAUGUUUGAGAUUGAGUGAAUGGAGGUGCUGUGUUCAUUUGGUCAUGCUAAGGUCUUGGGGUGGCCAUGGGAGGGGUGGGUGGCUGAGGUGGGGCAGAGGACAGACUCAUCUGGAGAUGAUGCAAUAAAUGAAGGGGAAAGCUAGGCCCUGCAAGGAGCUCUCUUGUGUGUAUUAAAAUCAUCAAAAACUGUGGCAGGAGUGAUUGCAGAGAUCCUAGUGACCCAUGAUCAAGGAAUGAAGAGGAAGACCAGCGGUCUAGAGAUUACUGCACAUGUGGGGUGGGAAGAGGGCGGUAACAGAUGACAAUCAUUAAUUUGAUAAAAAAGUAUUGAAUGUCUGCUCUGUGCCAGGCACAUGGUGGUAGGGUCUGAUGGGAGGUUAAAGGGAAGAGAGGUGGAUAAUGUUCUGGAGAUUUCAAUGAGCAAGAAGGGUAUUUAGCCCACAUUGAGGCCCAACAGAUUGAAGCCUUAAAAGAAAACAGCAACACCUGAGAAGGAUGCCAGGAAAUGAGUCCUAGGGGUACAUGUGGAGUCAGCUGGAGCACAUCCAGGAAGAAGGACAGAAGAAAGACUGUGAAGGACUUGAGUCAGGGAGGGGUGUGAGCUGACUCAGAAAGGGUGAUGCAUGGGUAGGCCAUGGGGUGAGGGAUGAACGGGAGUCUUGGAUUUCCUGUGGUCACUCAGGGAAACCCAGCAGCUAAAAGUAAGUGAUUUAAGCAAAUGAAUGGACAGAUGAAUUAAUGAAUAGACUAAAGAUGGACAAAUGCUUCCACCAGCCUUGCUUCAGGCCCUAUUUAGAACUGAAGUUGACUUCCUCUUUCUUUUAAUAGCUGCAAAAAUGAUGAAUUUGAUUUUCGUCUCUAGAAGCAAUUUCCUUUUUAAAUCAGGUGAGGAUCUUGGCAGAUGCGAAGAAUCUUUCAGAACCUGCAUGUAUAUGAGAAAGGGAUAUGACAGCAUGAAGUUCUCCUGUUUGAAGAAGCUAAAUGGAGCCACUUUUUGACUCAGUUGACUGGGACCUGGAGCUGGUGCACUAUUUGAAUUGCAUGGUGUGCCUGCCGCUGCCUUUUGACUUCUCCAGCCUGUACACCUGCCUUUUUGGGGAGAACUGUGGUAACAUAUGGGGAGGCGUCCUGUAUUUUCUGCAAUAUCUGACAAAGAAAAACUAGUUGGUUCAUAUGUAUAUAUGAUCUUUCAACAAGAACGUCAAAUAAAUAUCUUCACUCCUUGGGGAGAAGCAGGUCAGAGCCCCACUGUCUCAGCUAGCUCUCACUUGGCUGUCUUGUUUUGGGGCUGGAAGGCCACACUGUGUUUCCUGGGGUAGAGGCGGAGUCUGGGCAUUCUCCCUUUGUAGCUGAGAGCUAAGAGCAGUUGUGUCUGCUUUGAUAAAAUAAAGUUAUUUUUUAGUUUAGUCUGAUCUCCAAAUCCUUCCCUUUCAGAUACCUCUGCCAUCCAAGAUCAGGGGAUACUAAAUUUUCAAAGCAUUUUCUCAGGAGUUGCAUGAGAAAACAUACACCUGCUCUUGUUUUCAAGGGGUGUGGGCAAGAAGUAAAAAGGACAAACUGUUAAUGAGAACACUUUCUGUAUUCCUCCCUCCCCACUGAUACAUACCAGUACCAUAAAAUUUAAAAUGAGUCAAAUGACUGCAGUAAGACUUUACUUUGGUAUACGAGGCAAAAUGUUGGACAUGGGUGCUAAUUAAUCAUCAGAGAGUUACAGGGGAACCUGGACGAAUUAAGACUGGGGCAAGAGACAGCUCAUCAAGGAUCUUGCCCUGUAGCUCAAGAAGAAAAUGUUUAACUUAGUUGCCUGGACACUCUGAGGAUAGAAUGAAAUGCUGUAUGCGACCUGUUGGCCUUGGAAGCCGGCAUGGAUUCAGCACCCAGGGUUGGGGUGAACCUUCUCUCCCUCACUGUGUCAGGCAUCUUAGUCUGCCCCAGGAUGUGCAGGCUGCCUGUCCCUGGCCUCACAUCCUGCUGUAAGUGGGAUUGUGACCCCCUGAAAUGCAUAUGUUGAAGCCCUAACUGCCUCUGUGAUGGUAUUUGGAGGUGAAGCCUUUGGGAGAUAAUUAGGGUUAGAUGAAGUCCUAAGGACCUCCAUGAUGGGAUUAGUGUCCUUACAAGAAGAGGAAGAGACACCAGAGCUUCCCCUCUCUCACCUGUGAGGACAGAGGUAGCAGGUGGCUGUG